rnacentral:lncRNA from 1 species
AAUCGAAGAAAGGAUAUAGAAUUCGAGGUAGACAACCGUGUUUUUCUUAACAUCACUUCUCUCAAGGUUAUCACCAAAUUUAGGAAGAGAGGAAAACUAAACCCUCGAUUCAUUGGCCCGUUUAAGGCUUUGAAAAGAAUUUGAGCAACUGUCAUCUAAGCUAUCUAGGGUUCACAAUGUGUCCCAUGUGUUGAUGUUAUACAAGUACAACCCUGAUCCAUUAUAUGAUUUUCUCUAGACGCCUCUUCCACUUUAGAAUGAUUUGACUUAUGAAGAGCACCGGUAAAAAUUUUGGACCAGAAAGAAAAAGUUCUUCGAAAGAAGGUGAUUCCCCUAUUUAAAGUUAUGUGGCGGAACCACUCUCGAGCAUAAGCUAAUUAGUGGAU